UAGAGUAUUCGCCAGUCAAUGUAAUUACAUCGUUAUCGUAUGGCGCCCCGUUGUUAUUAUUUCUUCUGCGAUAUCUCGGUUUUAUUGCCAACUUUGAAGUACUAAGAUCCGUGUACGGAAAUUAUGAAAACGACUUCAACACAUUUAAAGAUCCUGUCGAACAGGAUAUGCUGAGAAGACACAUGGAGAAGGGGAGACGAUUAGUCCUCGUAUACAUAGGGAUAUCGUGUGGAUUAGCAGUCUUUGCAUUAACAACAAUACUGGUCCCCACAAUACUGCAUUCGAAAUACCAACUGCAUUACCUACGAAUGUAUGGAUUCUACUUCAACGAGCAAGGCCGAAAAACUGAUUUGGUCAGCAUCCACCUCCUAUUAGUAAGCACGAUGGGAUACUUAUUGAUUGCAGGUACGGAAUCAACACUCGCUGUUUAUACCGCCUAUUUUUGUGGACUGUUUGAAGUCGCCAGGUACUUGUGAAACAAUUUUUUCCAAAAUUUACAUUGAUAUACGUACCAAAAUUUCACAUUGAUUUACAUACCAGUCUGUGAUACUAGCAGGAUUUUUCUUGUACCCCAUUCAUUGAAUACGAUUGACAUGUUUUUAUUUCUCCAUUACAAUUGGUUUCGUUCGUUUAUCUAAAUGAUGUUUUAUAAUAUUUUAUUCUAAUUUUAAUGAAAAAAGUUCUACGAUAAUUUGGAGCCCUACAGACUACAGACUUUUAACCUCUUAGCUGUGGACGACGUAUAUACACGUCAUUGAGAAAUGGCAAUUUUACAUGUUGCAACAGAAAUACUUGUCUCACGAUUUAGGUUAAAAUGCUUGUGAAACAUG